AAAAAAAUGAAAUUGAAACUUUGCGUCUUGAAAGAAGAGAGAUUAACACUCUAAUUUCCAAUCGCCACUAUCAACAUUACUGGUAUACUUGAACUUCUACAAUUCUUUGAAAUUAAACCAAGUCUUCACCCAAACCUUGGCUUCAUAAAGCUUCUUCUUCCCAGCCUCGAUUUCUUCAAGGGUAAGGUGAUGCAGAGUCCCUGCCACUGCUUGCUCCUUCUCUUUUGCCUUUGCGACUCUAGCAAACUCUAGCAUCACAUUAUACAUAUGAAUUUCAAACACAACCAAAAUUCUCUCUCAACAAUCAAACCA
rnacentral:misc_RNA from 1 species